ACACUCCUACGGGAGGCAGCAGUAGGGAAUCUUCGGCAAUGGGGGCAACCCUGACCGAGCAACGCCGCGUGAGUGAAGAAGGUUUUCGGAUCGUAAAGCUCUGUUGUAAGUCAAGAACGAGUGUGAGAGUGGAAAGUUCACACUGUGACGGUAGCUUACCAGAAAGGGACGGCUAACUACGUGCCAGCAGCCGCGGUAAUACGUAGGUCCCGAGCGUUGUCCGGAUUUAUUGGGCGUAAAGCGAGCGCAGGCGGUUUGAUAAGUCUGAAGUUAAAGGCUGUGGCUCAACCAUAGUUCGCUUUGGAAACUGUCAAACUUGAGUGCAGAAGGGGAGAGUGGAAUUCCAUGUGUAGCGGUGAAAUGCGUAGAUAUAUGGAGGAACACCGGUGGCGAAAGCGGCUCUCUGGUCUGUAACUGACGCUGAGGCUCGAAAGCGUGGGGAGCGAACAGGAUUAGAUACCCUGGUAGUCCCAUG
rnacentral:rRNA from 1 species